rnacentral:rRNA from 1 species
CCCUUAGAUGUUCGGGGCCGCACAUGCGCUACACUGAAUGGAUCAGCGUGCGUUACGCCUGGCCCGAGAGGGCCGGGAAACCCGUUGAACCCCAUUCGUGCUAGGGAUUGGGGCUUGCAAUUGUUCCCCAUGAACGAGGAAUUCCCAGUAAGCGCGAGUCAUCAGCUCGUGUUGAUUACGUCCCUGCCCUUUGUACACACCGCCCGUCGCUACUACCGAUCGAUCCAGUUAAUGAGCUCUUCGGAUUGGUCCCGUAGGCGGGUCUUCGGGCCUGCUCUCGGCGCGCCGAGAAGAUGCGCAAAUUGACCGGAUUAGAGGUCGUAAAAGUCGUAACA